GCCUAGAUAAAAAGAAUGUGCUGGGUCAUGGGAUGGGAUCACAGUUCUGUGAGACUGGGAUAUUACUGUCUACUGAGGCAGAGGGUUUUGAGGAUGACAGAGGCUGUGUAGAGAGGGACUGAAACUUGUUUAUCACUGUGCUGUGAAUACGGUGCCUGCAAACACCGAGGCCUCAGAAAACGUCUGUGGCAUGAAUGGAGUGUAAUGUAUCACAUACCAAAGGCUCCCAGCCUCACCCAGGAUGCUAUAGGCAACAAAUACCUACCAAGUGGGGCUUCCCUUGUAGCUCAGCUGAUAAAGAAUCUACCUGCAAUGCAGGAGACCCCGGUUCAAUUCCUGGGUUGGGAAGAUCCCCUGGAGAAGGGGUAGGUUAUCCACUCCGGUAUUCUUGGACUUCCCUGGUGGCUCAGACGGUAAAGAAUCUGCCUGCAAUGCAGAAGACCUGGGUUCGAUCUCUGGGCUGGGAAGAUCCCCUGGAGGAGGGCAUGGCAACCCUUAUUCUUCCCUAGAGAAUCCCCAUGGACAGAGGAGCCUGGCAGGCUACAGUCCAUAGGGUCGCAAAGAGUCAGGCCCGACUGAGGACAGCAUAGAGGAGUUAUUAAUAAUAAGAAAGCGCCGAGUCUACAGCUUCAGCAAGCAGAGGUGUAGUCUUCCAGAUAAAAUUUCUAAAGUCACAAAAGGCAGUAUUUGACCCUGUUGUCACAGGUCUCAAAACAGUGUUUUUAUUGAUAACCCUUAAAACUGAUGGUCAGCGCUAUACCUGCACUGGCAUAAAUACAGUUCCUACUGAUGAGCUACCCUGUGGAUGAAACCAGUCAAGUUUUAUGCCCAUUUGUUUCCUUGUAUGGACUGCGGAAACCAGUUUUCAUUCAAAGGGACAUCAACUUCAAAGUUAUCUUUGGAAAUGAAUUCGAAGUGCUUGAGUUAAAUGGUAAUAGCUUCUAAUUUGGUAAAAACAGAAACAUGAUCAAUGUAAUUUUUUUUUCUAAAUAUUCAGUGCAUUUUCUCAGAGACAGGCAUUCAGAACAGAGUUUGUGUUUCAGACCCCCAGUUUAAUUUGCAUUUGAAAAGAAAACAGCAUGUCCUAAACCAAGGUCAGUUAAUCUCUACAAUCUUUCUUCCUUCCAAUUACUGUGAAUGAGCAUCUUCUCAGGACGCAAGCGAUGGUGACUCUGGUUUCUGCUACUAAAGACAUGUCUCAGCUCCGCAGAUUUUUUUUUUUUUUUUUUGGCUGUACAAUGGAAUUCGGAUGCAUUUUAAAUUAACUUUCUCUAGGAAUCAAAGAGUAACCUCUAGAGACCCCAGCUUGCUCAAAGAGGAUUGAGAAGAUCAUUCCAAAGCCUCUUCUUGUUGAGCUGAUCCAAGCGUUUAGAGGACAUAACAGGAGUCAGCCAUCCCAUUCUUUGUGAAAAGUCCGACCACAGUGGAGCAUCUGCAAUGGCAUUCAGUCAGGCAACUGGC